rfam:Stegodyphus mimosarum contig38430, whole genome shotgun sequence.
GCCAUCGUGGUGUAAUGAUCAAGCACGCUCGACGCGUAUUCGAGAAGUCGGUGGUUCGAAUCCUGGCGAGGGCA